UGAUGACUGCAUUGGACCUUCAAAG
rnacentral:piRNA from 1 species